rnacentral:piRNA from 3 species
UGAGGAAAUGGAGGCUCAGAGAGGCUGGGA